GAUGAACGCUGGCGGCGUGCCUAAUACAUGCAAGUCGAGCGAACAGACGAGGAGCUUGCUCCUCUGACGUUAGCGGCGGACGGGUGAGUAACACGUGGAUAACCUACCUAUAAGACUGGGAUAACUUCGGGAAACCGGAGCUAAUACCGGAUAAUAUAUUGAACCGCAUGGUUCAAUAGUGAAAGACGGUUUUGCUGUCACUUAUAGAUGGAUCCGCGCCGCAUUAGCUAGUUGGUAAGGUAACGGCUUACCAAGGCAACGAUGCGUAGCCGACCUGAGAGGGUGAUCGGCCACACUGGAACUGAGACACGGUCCAGACUCCUACGGGAGGCAGCAGUAGGGAAUCUUCCGCAAUGGGCGAAAGCCUGACGGAGCAACGCCGCGUGAGUGAUGAAGGUCUUCGGAUCAUAAAACUCUGUUAUUAGGGAAGAACGAAUGUGUAAGUAACUAUGCACGUCUUGACGGUACCUAAUCAGAAAGCCACGGCUAACUACGUG
rnacentral:rRNA from 1 species